rnacentral:rRNA from 1 species
GUCUGUGGCCAUACCACCCUGAAUGCGCCUGAUUUCAUCUGAUCUCAGAAGCCAAGCAGGGCUGGGCCUGGUUAGUACUCGGAUGGGAGGAACAUGAGUGGCACCACACU